rnacentral:rRNA from 1 species
GAACUACAAGUGAAAAACUUCAAACUUAAAGGACUUGACGGUAUCCCAAACCGACCUAGAGGAGCCUGUCCUAUAAUCGAUACCCCCCGCUCCACCCAACCUCAACUAGCACAAUAUCAGCCUAUAUACCGCCGUCGACAGCCUACCCUAUGAAGGUCCAACAGUAGACAUAAUAGCCCCCCCCACUAACACGUCAGGUCAAGGUGUAGCAAAUGUUGAGGAAGAGAUUGGCUACAUUUUUUAUGAUAAAAAAAACGAAAAGUAUUAUGAAAUAAUACAUGAAGGUGAAUUUAGUAGUAAAAUAAACAAGAGUGUUUAUUUUAACACCGCUCUGGGAUGCGUACACACCGCCCG